CCCUUAGAUGUUCUGGGCCGCACGCGUGCUACACUGAGUGGAUCAGCGGGUCAGGUUGCGCGAAAGUGUUUCCUAAUCUUUAAAUCCGCUCGUGAUGGGGAUUGACGGUUGCAAUUUUCCGUCAUGAACGAGGAAUACCUUGUAAGCGCGGGUCAUCAUCCCGCGCUGAAUACGUCCCUGCCCUUUGUACACACCGCCCGUCGCUCCUACCGAUUGAGUGGUCCGGUGAGGCUUUGGGAUCUGGGCGGAAAGAGCGUUUCGCUGUUUCUGCCCGGAAAGCUCAGUCGAACCUUAUCAUUUAGAGGAAGGAGAAGUCGUAACA
rnacentral:rRNA from 1 species